GAGGGUAUAGCUUAGUGGUAGAGUGCAUGCUUAGCAUGCAUGAGGUCCUAGGUUCAAUCCCCAGUACCUAUG
rnacentral:tRNA from 1 species